rnacentral:lncRNA from 1 species
AUGCUCAUUUGCCACCAUGUGUUUGGCUGUGCUGGGUGCUUUUUUCCACCAUGUGUUGGCUGUGCUGGGUUCUCAUAUUCCACCAUGUGUUUGGCUGUGCUGGGUGCUUAUUUUCCACCAUGUGUUUGGCUGGGUAGGCUGCUUUUUUCCACCAUGUGUUUGGCUGUGCUGGGUGCUUAUUAUUCACCAUCUAUUUGGCUGUGCUGGGUGCUUUUUUCCACCAUGUGUUUGGCUGUGCUGGGUGCUUUUUUCCACCAUGUGUUUCGCUGUGCUGGGUGCUCAUUUUCGGCCAUGUGUUUGUCUGUGCUGCCUUCUCAUUUUUUACCAUGUGUUUGGCUGAGCUGGGUUCUGGGUCUCCGUUGCUGCACGGGCUUCUCUGUAGCUGCCGUCCGCACUGAUUCUUCACUGUCGUGCGGGCUUCUCACUGUGGUGGGUUCUCUUCUUGCAGAGCACGCAUGGGCUUCAGCAGUUGUGGGUCCCAGGCUCCAGAGCGCAGGCUCAGUUGCUGGGCCGCUCGGGCUUAGUUGCUCUGCAGUAAUGUGGGAUGUUCCUGGAGCAGGGAUGGAACCCGUGCCUCCUGCAUUUGCAGGCCGACUCUUUUACCACCGAGCCACCAGGAAAGUCCCCCCCUCCUUUUUUUUUGGUAUGCAGGAUCUUUUGUUGAGGCAUGCAAACUCUCAUUUGGAUCACGUUUGA